CCAGUUGUGGCCUAAUGGUUAAUGGCAAGUCGGACUUGCAACCCAAAGGUGAACCUGAAGGUCGCGGGUUCGAGUCUCAGGCCGGCAGGG